UGGAAGCGUCUGGAAAGGCGCGCGAUACAGGGUGACAGCCCCGUACACAAAAAUGCACAUGCUGUGAGCUCGAUGAGUAGGGCGGGACACGUGGUAUCCUGUCUGAAUAUGGGGGGACCAUCCUCCAAGGCUAAAUACUCCUGACUGACCGAUAGUGAACCAGUACCGUGAGGGAAAGGCGAAAAGAACCCCGGCGAGGGGAGUGAAAAAGAACCUGAAACCGUGUACGUACAAGCAGUGGGAGCACGCUUAGGCGUGUGACUGCGUACCUUUUGUAUAAUGGGUCAGCGACUUAUAUUCUGUAGCAAGGUUAACCGAAUAGGGGAGCCGAAGGGAAACCGAGUCUUAACUGGGCGUUAAGUUGCAGGGUAUAGACCCGAAACCCGGUGAUCUAGCCAUGGGCAGGUUGAAGGUUGGGUAACACUAACUGGAGGACCGAACCGACUAAUGUUGAAAAAUUAGCGGAUGACUUGUGGCUGGGGGUGAAAGGCCAAUCAAACCGGGAGAUAGCUGGUUCUCCCCGAAAGCUAUUUAGGUAGCGCCUCGUGAACUCAUCUCCGGGGGUAGAGCACUGUUUCGGCAAGGGGGUCAUCCCGACUUACCAACCCGAUGCAAACUGCGAAUACCGGAGAAUGUUAUCACGGGAGACACACGGCGGGUGCUAACGUCCGUCGUGAAGAGGGAAACAACCCAGACCGCCAGCUAAGGUCCCAAAGUCAUGGUUAAGUGGGAAACGAUGUGGGAAGGCCCAGACAGCCAGGAUGUUGGCUUAGAAGCAGCCAUCAUUUAAAGAAAGCGUAAUAGCUCACUGGUCGAGUCGGCCUGCGCGGAAGAUGUAACGGGGCUAAACCAUGCACCGAAGCUGCGGCAGCGACGCUUAUGCGUUGUUGGGUAGGGGAGCGUUCUGUAAGCCUGUGAAGGUGUGCUGUGAGGCAUGCUGGAGGUAUCAGAAGUGCGAAUGCUGACAUAAGUAACGAUAAAGCGGGUGAAAAGCCCGCUCGCCGGAAGACCAAGGGUUCCUGUCCAACGUUAAUCGGGGCAGGGUGAGUCGACCCCUAAGGCGAGGCCGAAAGGCGUAGUCGAUGGGAAACAGGUUAAUAUUCCUGUACUUGGUGUUACUGCGAAGGGGGGACGGAGAAGGCUAUGUUGGCCGGGCGACGGUUGUCCCGGUUUAAGCGUGUAGGCUGGUUUUCCAGGCAAAUCCGGAAAAUCAAGGCUGAGGCGUGAUGACGAGGCACUACGGUGCUGAAGCAACAAAUGCCCUGCUUCCAGGAAAAGCCUCUAAGCAUCAGGUAACAUCAAAUCGUACCCCAAACCGACACAGGUGGUCAGGUAGAGAAUACCAAGGCGCUUGAGAGAACUCGGGUGAAGGAACUAGGCAAAAUGGUGCCGUAACUUCGGGAGAAGGCACGCUGAUAUGUAGGUGAAGUCCCUCGCGGAUGGAGCUGAAAUCAGUCGAAGAUACCAGCUGGCUGCAACUGUUUAUUAAAAACACAGCACUGUGCAAACACGAAAGUGGACGUAUACGGUGUGACGCCUGCCCGGUGCCGGAAGGUUAAUUGAUGGGGUCAGCGCAAGCGAAGCUCUUGAUCGAAGCCCCGGUAAACGGCGGCCGUAACUAUAACGGUCCUAAGGUAGCGAAAUUCCUUGUCGGGUAAGUUCCGACCUGCACGAAUGGCGUAAUGAUGGCCAGGCUGUCUCCACCCGAGACUCAGUGAAAUUGAACUCGCUGUGAAGAUGCAGUGUACCCGCGGCAAGACGGAAAGACCCCGUGAACCUUUACUAUAGCUUGACACUGAACAUUGAGCCUUGAUGUGUAGGAUAGGUGGGAGGCUUGGAAGUGUGGACGCCAGUCUGCAUGGAGCCGACCUUGAAAUACCACCCUUUAAUGUUUGAUGUUCUAACGUUGACCCGUAAUCC
rnacentral:rRNA from 1 species